CUAGAAGCUUUGAUUGAAGCUGCGUUCGAAGCUAUCAGAUCUUGUGGAACUGAUUCUCAUGUCGUUCCAAGUCAUUGCGAUUACAAAGCCAGCAAUGUACCUUUUUAUGGAAAUUCAGAAGAUCGAUAGUAGUUACUAUCCUGAGACUUUCCAUAAGCUCUUUAUUAUCAAUGCUGGAUCUGGCUAAUGCUAUGAAAAGUUGUUAAGACAUUCCUAGAUGUUUGCACAGUAGCAAAGCUUCAAGAAAAAAGAAGGUCCUGCAGCAAAACCUUACUUAAAAUGGGCAGCAUCAAUGGCUACUUCUCUUGAUACUGGUGUCCCCUGUGUUAUGUACAUGCAAGUAGAUGCUCCUAAUCCUAUUGUAGAUUGACACAUGCAAUAGAGUUUACUGUGAUCAGUUCAUACCAAACUCUAAUGCUAAGCCGAAGAUUUAGAUCGAGGGCUAUAACGGAUGGUUUCUUUAUUGGAGCUGUACCUUAGAGACCUGUGAAAGAUCUUGCAUUUGCUAUGGCAAGAUUUUAUCAACUUUGUGAAACUUUUAUGAACUACUAUAUGGAAUCAUUAGACAGCCUAAGUGGAGACACCUUAAAGAUUUGCAUAAUUUUAUAAAGUUUUGUGAAGAAGCAUUGAUUACUACUGAUCCAGCAAUUACAUCUCUUCAUCCAAAUAUAGAGGUAUAUAUGAGUGUGAUUCUGAUUCUGAUUCUAAUUCUCAUUUUGAGGGCAUAUACAUUUCAGUAACCUCACAACAGAGACUUUUUUCUUCCUUCCAAACAAGGCAAGUUUUGGUAUGGUUAUUACUAUUAUCUCCACUUUCAUGCUAAUGGAUAUGCAAGACUAAUGCAUAAAAGCAUGUUAAGUUUAAUUUUGUUAGAGAAAUUAUAAGUUUGUGAUUAUUUAAAUUCGAGUUCAUUUAAUUUGUUUAGUUUUAGGAAUAGAUUUAAGUUUUAUGUUUAUUAUUUUUGUUUUAAUUUGUUUAGUUUUAGGAAUAGAAGAUGAUAAUGUUUCCCCUUUGCCUAUUGUUUCUUGUUUUUAUAUCCUUGUGUUGAUGCAGAGUAUGGAUAUUCUUUUCAGACAUCAUGCAUGUG